ACACUACAGCCUUCAAUUGAAGUCUGGCUUUGCUUAAUUGUACUUUUUGCACUCAUCAGUCUCUCCUCUUCAGAGCAAGCUACAAAAAUUGCCUGAAUAGCCAAAGAAAAGUUUCCCACAGUCACUGGCCACAGAAAAACACUAUUGUCCUUCCUCACAGUUUGAUGGACAACAUUUCUGUAAAUGGGUAGCCAGGCUGUCAAUGGUACCCUUGCUGAAAAGGCAAAAGAAGAGAACAGAUUCUGCCAAUAUCUGACAAAGCAUGUUAGCACAUAAUCAGGCAUUCACUAGUCAGGCAGCUGCCCCUGGGACCUUCAUCACACAGGUGCCUUUAAGCCAUUUCCUAUUCAGAGAUAAAGGAAACAAGCAGGAGAUACCUGGGAAAGGAGCAGUUCAUUAUGGCUUGUCAAAUGUCCAUCUUCUGAGCUGUGUGUUUAAAAGUAGAAAGAGGAAAAAGAAAACUAGUUUCAACAAAAAAAUCAGAAAAUAGCAAAACACAAAACCUAUGAGUUAAGCUGUAGGUUUUUCCCCCUUUCCUUUUCUCUUUAGUUUUUUCCUGGGUGCAUUUGUUGUUUGGCAUAGCUGCAGUUCUGCCUAAUAACAAUGCAUUUGCUCAAAGGCCCCUUCAUACACUAAGGCUGAAAUGAACACUUACCUUGUCCAACUGAGUCAUGGAGAGUUUAUUUGGCCACCUUAAGCCAUUUUUCCUACACAUACAUGAGCAUGUACAUACACACAACCAUCAACAUGCAUCUGUUUUCCCACAACUGCUCCUUUUCAAGAUCUGUGAUAACUAAUUCCAAAGUGGUGAUGAGGUGGAUGAUCCUCCAGUAAAGCAAAAACUGAACCAUUUCUUUAGGAGCCACCAAAAUAAAUACUUAAGGAUGACAAUUAUUCUUUUUAUUUCUUCAUUAAUGCUCAGACAUUUUUUUCCAUAUGUGGACACCUACUUGGUGAAGCUCAGACCUCAGUACUCCAUUAAGCUAAUGGUCCCAUUGUUGUAGGAGACAGAUGAGGCAAGGCACUGAAGAUAGCAGGAAACAGUUUUAUUUGGCUGCAGCCAGAUUCCAAUGUAAUCAAUCAAUUAAUGCCCUGAAUCCUGAGUUCAGGUAGUUUCAGAACAUUAUAUCCAACAUGUAAGGGG
rnacentral:lncRNA from 1 species